rnacentral:rRNA from 1 species
GCGAAUUCGCCCUUAGAGUUGAUUAUGGCUCAGAUUGAACGCUGGCGGCAGGCCUAACUACAUGCAAGUCGAGCGGUAGCACAGGAGAGCUUGCUUUCUGGGUGACGAGUGGCGGACGGGUGAGUAAUGUCUGGGAAACUGCCUGCAUGGAGUGGGGAUAACUACUGGAAAACGGUAGCUAAUACCGCAUAACGUCGCAAGACCAAAGUGGGGGACCUUCGGGCCUCUUGCCAUCAAGAUGUGCCCAGAUGGGAUUAGCUAGAUAGGUGGGGUAAUGGCUCACCUAAGGCGACGAUCCCUAGCUGGUCUGAGAGGAUGACCAGCCACACUGGAACUGAGACACGGUCCAGACUCCUACGGGAGGCAGCAUUGGGGAAUAUUGCACAAUGGGCUCAAGCCUGGUGCAAGCCAUGCCGCGUGUAUGAAGAAGGCCUUCGGUUUGUAAAGUACUUUCAGCGGGGAGGAAGGCGAUAAGGUUAAUAACCUUGUCGAUUGACGUUACUCGCAGAAGAAGCACCGGCUAACUCCGUGCCAGCAGCCGCGGUAAUACGGAGGGUGCAAGCGUUAAUCGGAAUUACUGGGCGUAAAGCGCACGCAGGCGGUCUGUCAAGUCGGAUGUGAAAUCCCCGGGCUCAACCUGGGAACUGCAUUCGAAACUGGCAGGCUGGAGUCUUGUAGAGGGGGUUAGAAUUCCAGGUGUCGCGGUGAAAUGCGUAGAGAUCUGGAGGAAUACCGGUGGCGAAGACGGCCCACUGGACAAAGACUGACGCUCAGGUGCGAAAGCGUGGGGAGCAAACAGGAUUAGAUACACUGGUAGUCCACGCUGUAAACGAUGUCGACUUGGAGGUUGUUCCCUUGAGGAGUGGCUUCCGGAGCUAACGCGUUAAGUCGACCGCCUGGGGAGUACGGCCGCUAAGGUUAAACUCAAAUGAAUGACGAAGGCGAAGUCGUUUAACCUGCAGACUAGUCCCUUGAUGAGGUAUC